rfam:Kluyvera ascorbata ATCC 33433 GKAS.assembly.023, whole genome shotgun sequence.
AGUCAUGAUGGCUAUUCCUUGAAAAUAGUGAUUGUGAUUAGCGAGGCGCUCGUGUUCCAGCACGGGCGCCUCGCGAA